ensembl:snRNA U6 U6 spliceosomal RNA
GUGCUCACUAUGGCAGCACAUAUACUAAAAGUGGAGCAAUACAAAGAAGAUUAGCAUAACCCCUGUGCAAGGAUGACAUGCAAAUUCAUGAAGCAUUCCAUACCUUU